rnacentral:rRNA from 1 species
GUUNUUUGAUAAUACCUUACUACUUGGAUAACCGUGGUAAUUCUAGAGCUAAUACAUGCUGAAAAUCCCGACUUCGGAAGGGAUGUGUUUAUUAGAUAAAAAACCAAUGCCCUUCGGGGCUCCUUGGUGAUUCAUGAUAACUUUACGGAUCGCAUAGCCUUGCGCUGGCGACGGUUCAUUCAAAUUUCUGCCCUAUCAACUUUCGAUGGUAAGGUAUUGGCUUACCAUGGUUUCAACGGGUAACGGGGAAUUAGGGUUCGAUUCCGGAGAGGCAGCCUGAGAAACGGCUACCACAUCCAAGGAAGGCAGCAGGCGCGCAAAUUACCCAAUCCCGACACGGGGAGGUAGUGACAAUAAAUACUGAUACAGGGCUCUUUUGGGUCUUGUAAUUGGAAUGAGUACAAUUCAAAUCUCUUAACGAGGAACAAUUGGAGGGCAAGUCUGGUGCCAGCAGCCGCGGUAAUUCCAGCUCCAAUAGCGUAUAUUAAAGUUGUUGCAGUUAAAAAGCUCGUAGUUGAAACUUGGGCCUGGCUGGCGGGUCCGCCUCACCGCGUGCACUCGUCCGGCCGGGCCUUCCUUCUGAAGAACCUCAUGCCCUUCACUGGGCGUGCUGGGGAAUCAGGACUUUUACUUUGAAAAAAUUAGAGUGUUCAAAGCAGGCCUUUGCUCGAAUACGUUAGCAUGGAAUAAUAAAAUAGGGCGUGCGUUUCUAUUUUGUUGGUUUCUAGAGACGCCGCAAUGAUUAACAGGAACAGUCGGGGGCAUCAGUAUUCAGUUGUCAGAGGUGAAAUUCUUGGAUUUACUGAAGACUAACUACUGCGAAAGCAUUUGCCAAGGAUGUUUUCAUUAAUCAGUGAACG